CCGAGGGACCAGUGAUUGACAGCAUCC
rnacentral:piRNA from 1 species